UAACUGAAGAGUUUGAUCAUGGCUCAGAUUGAACGCUGGCGGCAGGCUUAACACAUGCAAGUCGAGCGGGGGAAGGUAGCUUGCUACUGGACCUAGCGGCGGACGGGUGAGUAAUGCUUAGGAAUCUGCCUA
rnacentral:rRNA from 1 species